AUAUGCUCUUUUGGAUGCAGAUGGUGACGACGACGAUGAUGGAGGUAGAUCAUCUGUUCCUGUUGUUUCAGAGUCAAGGAAACCAGAUUCCCAUAAGAAGCGGUAUAGGAAGAAGAUUUUGAGUCAAGAAGAUGACAAUGAUGAGCUGAUUGCACAGAGAGGAAGAAAAGAGAAGGGUAAAUAUGAUGGGCCAAGUUGUGGAUGCGGGUGCCUUCAAUCUUGAUGGGGUCACUAUUUCGUUUGCUGAAGCGAUGGGCUUAAAAAGAAGGAUUCAAGUUUGCUCGGUCCAAGGGCCUCCAAAAGGUGAUGAUAAGAGGGAGACUCCAAGCUUGUUAUUGAGGCGGUUCAAAGAAAUUGGGAGGUUCCUUGGAAGAUUAGAACCAUCAUUGAGGAUGCACGUGGUAUUGCUUGCUCCUUUUAGUCAAGUGGCGUGGAACCAUAUCUGCCAGGGAGGCAAAUUUGUCGCGGAUGCCUUAGCUCACUUGGGUCUUUCGGUUGAGACUCCUCACAUUUGGGAUCAUGGCUUACCCUCUAUUGCUCUAAAUGCUUUUAGUUUUGACAGUAUUAGAAACGGUUGUUCUCGUGGUUUUUCCCUUUAAUGAAUUUUUUCCAAAGUUCAGGUACUAAAUUUCUUGCAGAAAUCUGAUUUAGUGAAAUUAAAUAUGAA